rnacentral:rRNA from 1 species
AUUGAACGCUGGCGGCAUGCCUUACACAUGCAAGUCGAACGGCAGCACGGGUGCUUGCACCUGGUGGCGAGUGGCGAACGGGUGAGUAAUACAUCGGAACAUGUCCUGUUGUGGGGGGUAGCCCGGCGAAAGCCGGAUUAAUACCGCACACGUUCCACGGAUGAAAGCGAGGGACCUUCGGGCCUCGCGCUAUAGGGCUGGCCGAUGGCUGAUUAGCUAGUUGGUGGGGUAAAGGCCUACCAAGGCGACGAUCAGUAGCUGGUCUGAGAGGACGACCAGCCACACUGGGACUGAGACACGGCCCAGACUCCUACGGGAGGCAGCAGUGGGGAAUUUUGGACAAUGGGCGAAAGCCUGAUCCAGCAAUGCCGCGUGUGUGAAGAAGGCCUUCGGGUUGUAAAGCACUUUUGUCCGGAAAGAAAUCCUUGACUCUAAUACAGUCGGGGGAUGACGGUACCGGAAGAAUAAGCACCGGCUAACUACGUG